CAGCCGCCGCGGGAAAACAGAGGGUGCGAGCGUUAAUCGGAUUUACUGGGCGUAAAGCGUGCGUAGGCGGCUUCUUAAGUCGGAUGUGAAAUCCCUGAGCUUAACUUAGGAAUUGCAUUCGAUACUGGGAAGCUAGAGUAUGGGAGAGGAUGGUAGAAUUCCAGGUGUAGCGGUGAAAUGCGUAGAGAUCUGGAGGAAUACCGAUGGCGAAGGCAGCCAUCUGGCCUAAUACUGACGCUGAGGUACGAAAGCAUGGGGAGCAAACAGGAUUAGAUACCCCCGUAGUCCCUGUCUCUUAUAC
rnacentral:rRNA from 1 species